GCAAACUUGGUCAUUUAGAGGAAGUAAAAGUCGUAACAAGGUUUCCGUAGGUGAACCUGCGGAAGGAUCAUUAUUGAAUAAACCUGACAAGGGUUGUAGCUGACUCUCAGGAGUAUGUGCACACCCUGUCACCUUUAUCUCUCUCCCUGUGCACCCAUUGUAGGCCUGGAUAACUCUCACUGAAAGGUGGAUACAGAGACUGCUGCUGUCUUCUUAACCCAAGGCUAGCUUUCUUUGGAUUUCCAGGUCUAUGAUUUUACAUACCCCAAAUGAAUGUUAUAGGAAUGUUUUUGCAUGGCAUUAUGCCUAUAAAUCAAUACAACUUUCAGCAACGGAUCUCUUGGCUCUCGCAUCGAUGAAGAACGCAGC
rnacentral:misc_RNA from 1 species